AUGGAGAAGGCGCUCCCCGGGCAAACCCCCACGCUCAGGCGAGAAAGUGGGGGGAGCACACAGGUUUAGAUCCCGUGGUAGUCCCCCCUGUAAACGAAGUCGUUAGGGAGGUUGGGCCUUCGAGCCGUAGUUUCCGAAGUUAACCCGUUAAAUCUCCCCCUUGGGAAGUCCGUCGCCAAGGUUAAAAUCCAAAGGAAUUGACGGGGGCCCCCCCAACGGGUGGACAAUGGGGUUUAAUUGGAUGCACCGGGAAGACCCUUACCUGUUCUUGCCAUCCACAGAACUUAGCAGAGAUAUUUUGGUCCCUUCGGGAACUGUGAGACAGGUUGUGCAUGGCUGUCGUCAACUUGUGUUGUGAAAUGUUGGGUUAAGUCCCGCAACGAGCGCAACCCUUAUCUUUUGUUGCCAGCGGUUAGGCCGGGCACUCAAAGGAGACUGCCAGUGAUAAACUGGAGGAAGGUGGGGAUGACGUCAAGUCAUCAUGCCCCUUACGACCAGGGCUACACACGUGCUACAAUGGCGCAUACAAAGAGAAGCGACCUCGCGAGAGCAAGCGGACCUCAUAAAGUGCGUCGUAGUCCGGAUUGGAGUCUGCAACUCGCCUCCAUGAAGUCGGAAUCGCUGAGUAUCCGGGCA
rnacentral:rRNA from 1 species